UUACGACCAUAUCAUAUUGAAACCACAGUUCACGUACGAUCACCGAAGUUAAGCAACGUCGAGCCUAGUUAGUACCUAGAUGGGUGACCGCUUAGGAAUAUCAGGUACUGUAAG